AUGUAUGCGCUCACCGUGCUCCUCUGCCCUUCAAGCCAUGGGGCUGCUAGUCCAGAUUACUACCACAUUCUGGAAGACCCUGAACAGAUUGGCUCAUUCGACUUCUGCACGGCUGUCCUUGACAAGCUUGUGGCGUCAAUUGAUAGCUACAAGGCUGGAGCCACAACGGUGCUCGCCGGGGAUCUCUUAACACUCACGAUCAUAUACUUUGAAUUUCUUGACACCGACAUCAUGCCGGUCACAAGCAAGCGGCCACGGAUUUCACUUUGGACGUCUGAAAUUGUAGCAGAAUAUGAAAGGCGGGACUGCACAAGCAGCGAUAAAUUGCUUUAUGGCAGGCUCCCGACAAAGCGUGUCUCGGAAACACCCUUCGGUCAAAUCAACAGACAGCCAAAAGUCACACUAGGUGCCUCGUAUGAUGAACUCCUGCAGUUCACCCUCUCAAUUGUUCCAGAGGAAAACCACCAGAUGGUUUUAGACAAGCUUCCAAAGAUUAUGCAUAGCAUGCAGAGCGAGCUUUUUGAUUCAAUGCAAAAUGUACUCGCCAAGAACUUUAUGAACCUGCUGAAACUGAUGUCGUCAAUGCAUUCUUCAUCGCCUAGCAAAAAACAAAAUAGCACAGACAAAGAUUCAAGUUGCGUGCCCAUUUCAGAGGCUCCGACGGUUCCUUGUGGUAGCCACUCCAGCUUGCAAAUGACAAGUACCACACUGGCUGAAAGAAAACAGGAUAAGCCUGAAGCAAAAACAGGGGCAGAAUGUGGCUCAGGGCAGGAAACAGAGCACGUUUUUACAGCUGAAGAAACAAAGCCAUUGUCUGAAGUACAAAGGAAGAACAACAAAGCCCCCGUACCCGUGCUCUUGAGUUUUUGA
rnacentral:rRNA from 1 species